GCCCCCGUGGUGGAAUUGGCAGACACGCGAGGUUUAGGACCUCGUGCCGAAAGGUGUAGAGGUUCGAGUCCUCUCGGGGGCA
rnacentral:tRNA from 1 species